rnacentral:lncRNA from 1 species
GUUUAAGAAGGGGCAUAUGAUACGUCAUUGCCACCAAAGUUCCAUUGGUCUUGUUAGCUGGGCCGAUCGAAGGUGUGUGAAUUAUCCGGGCUGAAUUCCACGAUCUCCUGUUCCGGAAACGGUACAUGCAUCAACAGUGAAUGGCUGAGGCAGUCAGUCACACGUGCAGGAUGCCCACAGCUUGGCGGGUGCCAGUUGAAGCCAGUGAACAUCGACAGCAGACAGGGGCAGGACAAAAAUGACCCGGGGUCCCAUGUCUAUUACAUAUAUGUGGAUAUCAAGUCAUAAUGUAGAUAAAAGUAACACACUUAUAACAAUACAAUAUACUUAGAAUACCAUAUGACGAUGAAUAUGAUUGCAAAAGGUCCAAAAUAAAAAGUUCGCUUGAAAUAUUAGUUGAUUGCUAGAAACUGAACAGCAAAUGAGAACCAAAGUUUUCAAAUUAUGAAUGAAUUAUAACCGCUGACGAGAAAAAGCAACACUAGAUCAUGAUUGCCAAUAAAAAAAUCACUUAGCAUAUAUUAAUUACAGUUGUGUAAUAAGUAAGUUAAAAUCAUUACCUUUCUAAAAUGGUUUCCUGCAUUCUUUCAUGGCCUCAAAGCGAACAAUUACAACAUCAUGCCCCUAAAGCCACUGAUCAAUACAAUAGCCAAAUAGUCUAAUAGCUAAUACAGUCAAAAUGUGUAGUCUUAUCCAGUAGCCCUAAUAUCCUAGGGUUAGACAAAUAAAGUAAGAAUUAGAGCAUAAUUUGGGAAUUGAAAUAGAGGCAGACACACGCUGCGAAUUGGGGUCUAAUGCAACAUACCUUCACUGAUU